UACGUAGGGAGCAAGCGUUGUCCGGAAUCAUUGGGCGUAAAGCGCGCGUAGGUGGCCUCGUAAGUCCGCUGUGAAAGUCAAAGGCUCAACCUUUGAAAGCCGGUGGAUACUGUGAGGCUAGAGUACGGAAGAGGCGAGUGGAAUUCCUGGUGUAGCGGUGGAAUGCGCAGAUAUCAGGAGGAACACCAAUAGCGAAGGCAGCUCGCUGGGACGGUAUUGACGCUAAGGCGCGAAAGCGUGGGGAGCAAACAGG
rnacentral:rRNA from 1 species